CACUGACAUUAGAUACCCGCGUAGUCCUAGCCGUAAACGAUACUCGCUAGGUGUCGGCCACGGUGCGACCGUUGUCGGUGCCGUAGGGAAGCCGUGAAGCGAGCCACCUGGGAAGUACGGCCGCAAGGCUGAACUUAAAGGAAUUGGCGGGGGAGCACCACAACGGGUGGAGCCUGCGGUUUAAUCGGACUCAACGCCGGGAAUCUCACCGGGACCGACAGCAACAUGAAGGCCAAGCUGAAGACUUUGCCGGAUUAGCUG
rnacentral:rRNA from 1 species